rnacentral:lncRNA from 1 species
AUAUAUAUUCUCCAUUCAUGUUGGAGAUUAAAUUCUGACUAUGAUUCAUUGAAUUAUAAAAUAAGUUUCAUGCCCCAUUUUGUAACUGUCAUUUGAAUAAAUAUUUAAAAAUAAAUUAUUUGCACAUGCUCUCUUAAGGAUGCAUAAGUUUUGAUAUUCACCCAUAUAAUUAAUGGUUGGAGUUUUAAAAUGCAUACUAUGUAAUAUCGUAUGAUAUUACAUAUGGGAAAAUUCUAAAGUGUUAAAAUUUUGUGAAAGAAAGGGCAUGAAUUUGUUGACUUUUCAUUCUAGUGUGAACUGAUAACACCUAUAAAAUUCGGUAUAUGCAUAUACGGUAAGUUGGUAAGCUGCCAAAUACGGUAAGCUACCAUAUACGGUAAGCGGCAUAUACGGUAGGUCGCAUAUACGGUAAGCAACACGCAUAUACGGUAAGUUGUAUAUACAGUAUGCGUCAAUCCGGUAAGUGACAUAUACGGUAUGUGUCAAUACGGUAAAUUGUAAAUUCGGUUUAUGUCCAUUCGAUACAAACCUUGAUUUAUGAUAAUAGCCUCAAUUAAUUCUAUGAAAUUAAAUGAGAUGACUUAUGCAAAAUUAUAGUUGCAUAAGAUUAUGAUAAAAUGAGAUUUUGUCCUAAUUAUAAUGGAAAUCAUUAUUUAGUAAUUAGAAUUCAGUCGCUUAUUUAUUUGGAAUUGUUGGAAAAUUGUAGAAAAUUUCGCAUAGAAAGAUGUGUCUUUUCAUAUGAAGAAUCAUGACUUUUGGUAUGAUUAAUUUCCAAUGGGUGUGUCUCUUUAUAGAGAUUAAUUCAAGAGGUGUGUCCUCUUGUAGAAUUGUGUUUUUUGAGAACACAACUUUUCAAUCGAUGGUCGAAAUGAAACUAUCACGUGAAAUGUUACAAAUGUGAUAAGUUACAUAUGUUUGAAGAAGUUGCAAUGCUUAGCCCUCUUUAUUGCUGAAUUUGACUUCAAUCAUGAAAUCAAUUAAGUUGGUAUAUGCUUGGAAAGCAUUGUUAGUCCAUAUGAUGGCCUUGAUUUAAUUUGGAUGAUCAAGAUUAAUUAGAUUGAAGUACGUUAUACGCAACUUUAAUUGAAAUAAAUUGUGAGUCAACGACCACUACUUUGAAAGUAUUUAGACUUUGACGAAGCACUCGAUACGGAUAUUAUCUAAAAGAUAAAUGAAUAGAACUAUGAAAAGGUUGCUGAAUCCUAAGUUCAAUUGUAACCUAAAGAUGUGGGGGUUAUCAUAAAUACUCGUGAAAUUGAAUGAAAAGUUUAAAACUUAUGGAUGUAACGUUACUAGAUUGCAUAUGUAUUCUUAAUUGAGGAAUUAUGGGGGUAACUCAGUUUAACAGGUACGUUUGCUUCUAUCUUAUAAUCAUAUAACGAUACCUAUGAUGGUGGAAAGAUAGAAAACCCCUUAUACUAAUUAUAAAGAUGAUAUAUACUAAGUCUAAAGUGGAUGAAAUGGGUUGUAAAGCCGAUUAUGGCUUUUGUUUAGACAUGCAAGAACAAUUGGAAUAUAUGAAGAAUAUUUAUAAAGUUCGAAUGCAUGGUAAUGUUUCAAUGAUGAUAUUGAAUAUCCAUGAUUCUGAAAUCUACUUGUAAACAUAAUUGACUAAUGUAAUAAUUAGAUAGAAAAUCCUCUAACAGUAUUGUUUGGGAAUUGAUAAAGCUUUAGAUAAAGCUAAUGAGGCAUGUAGCUUCAUGAGAUGAUUUCUUGGUGGCGAUAAUUUGUAUCUAUCAAAUGAAUCGAUCAUUGGCUAGCAAUAUUUGAUAAUAUACUAAGUCACAAGUAAUGGUAAGUCUAGACAUAUAAGUCAUAGACGUAGUACCGUUAAGCAGUUGAUCUCAAUAAUGUAGACUUGUGGUACCUUUAAAGAGAUUUACUAAGAGAGAUCAUGAAUACUGCAUAUCGAAGGGAAUGAGGUAAAGCCUACUACGUUAGAGUCCUUGUAAUGGUAACCCUACCUUGUUGACUGGAAAUCCCAAGAUCUUGGUUCAAAGGGACAACUAAGUUAUGGGGAUUUCACGAAGUACUUAGGAAAAUAAUUUCCUAACUCAUUCCUAUGAUAUUAAAGUGCUUUCUGCAGAGUUGUAAGAGGUUAAGAUAAUCUUUUAAUUAUUCUUAAAUCUUGAUUAAGUCAAGUGGAGUAAGGCAGAAUACUUUGAAUAGGAGGUCACAUAUGUGAGUGUGAAGUGUGGCCGCUUCAAUGAGAAUUAUUCAAGGUUUAAAUUCUCUAAAUACUCGUAGAACCAAGAAGGGUUCAGGGUCAAAAUGAACCAAGUCAUGAAAAUGAAAAGGUGUGACUACGUGUCAAUUUCGAUCAAAUAUUCAAACUUGAUCCGAUGGUCAAAUUACAAAAGUAAAUAGACCAAGUUAUUCUAUUCGUCGAGUAGAUCAUCGUGGUAUAUUUGGAAUCUCGAAACCAAUUCCGGGUGAAUGAGAAAUUGCGGUCUAAAGUUGGAAGAAAUAAAAUAUUGCAACUUUUCGAAAGGAUGCAGGUUUUGGCUAAGUGUUGCAACUUUUUGAAAGGAUGCAUGUUUUGGCCCACACUACUUAAUUUGCACUCUUUCUGCAUCUAUAAAUAGAACCCUAUGGACAUGAUUUUGGGUACACCAAUUGUAUUGAGUAUUCAUUCUCCUUUUGCAAUUCUCUCAUUUCUAAUUCCAUAGCAUUUUCAUGCAUUUUCUUGGUAAAGAGAGAAUUUUGUUCGAGUUCGCUGGUCGAAGUCAUUUGGAGUGCUCCUAUGGCUUAACGUGAUCAUUGUAUCUUGGGAGAUGAUUGUCGAAAAAUCGUUAGCACCGAUACGGGGCAAAUUCAUCUUAAGGACCAAGUGUCAAACACUUACCUAGACCAAAAAUUCAUCACUUGCAUCUUUCUUCCUAUAGUUUUCUGAUUUCUUUAGAUUAUAUUUUGAUUUCGGGAAAUGAUUAACAUUGUUUGCAUGUUUAUGUUGCAAGGUUCGAUCAAAAGAAUAAUUUGCUUUCGUUUAAGAAUCGAAAUGGAUGAAUCCAUAUUCAUGCAUUCAAAUUCGGUAACUUUUAUGCUUCUCAAAUCUUAUUUCGGUAAGUCGAAAUUAUGUUUCCAUUUCACGCAAAUAACCGGUAUACUUUUGUGAAUAUAAUAUCACGUAAUCGGUGUAAAUUUCCCCAACAGUAAAUUAGACAAAUUUAUUGUUUAUGUUUAUUUUAAAUGCAAUGGUUUAGAUGCACACUAUUCAUUCUUGAAUAAUGCUAUUUAUCAUUAGUUGUGAUCACCGGUUUAGUCCAAGUAUCAUACGUCGAGUUUUUAAAGAUUUUCUUUGGAGAGUUUGAUUCGCCAGCAAAUGUUUCAAUCAGGUUCCUAUUCAUUCAUCAUGCAUUACCAAACUUACCUUGUCUGUCUUCAUUUUCUGUCAAAGGAUGGUGUUGUGUUGAUAAUUGAAUAGAUUCAGCCACUCGCAGAAAAUGACUUCCAUUUUCACUCACAAUUUCAGGCCAAUAAUUCCACAUGAAUUUUGCUUUAACAUCAAAGAAUAGACGGUGUGUUUGACUGGAAGCAUGAAAUUUGUAUAAAAAUAAAUAAAUUUUAGAAAAUUGAUUGCAUGUAAAUUAUUAAUUAAUUAUGUUUGAUUGGUCUAAAUUUCAAUGUAGAAAAUAUUAUAUUUGUCCAUAUUUUAUUGGUGGUUGGAUGAAAGAGGGAGUAGAUAAAAGAGAGUGAAUUGUCUAAAAAAUAAAAAUUUAUCCUUCCCCAUUAAAAUAUAUAUAUAUAUAUAUAUAAUUUUUUUUUUUAAGGAAAAUAUAAUCGUGUGACCAACUUUUGAAAAAUAUCUUUUAUAGAAAAAAAUCAAUCAAACAUCAAAAGUAAGAACUUUUUCAUGAAAAAUAAAGUUAAUCAAAGAUAUUGUAAGUAGCAUGUGCAAUUCAGCUGACCUUAUAUGAUCCAAAUCAACUCCCAUUAAACUCAAAAUAACAUUGUUUUUUCCACUCCAACUGUAUCCAAAGCGGGGUUUUUUCUACAAUUAACAUAAUUAACUUAAACUAGGUAGAAAUCCGCUCAAUUUAACAAUAAAUAAUCAAGUUUAAAAGUUCAAAUAAAUAUAUAAAAUACAUUUAUCAAGUGCGAGCAGGUAGAAUUAGGUAACCAUUUUUCAAAGAACUGAUAUUUUUCCCGAAUCAAUCAACUUUAGGUGUUAAUGCAAAUAUGAUUAGAUUCUCAACUAGUUGUUGAUUAAGAUUAUAGUUGUACUACUGCCAAAGUUCAACGCAGUUGAUUUAUAGCUUUUAUUGAUGUUAACUGUCAACAUAUAGAAGACAAAUCAAAAGGCCAGAGAUUAUCCCGUGAGAUCAUAGGUCAUUAUUAAAUUAUUUUCUACUAUCCGAACAACACAAAUAUAGAUAUAUUUGAUGAUAUCGCUCGACGACUCUAUAUUGUAUAAUAAUAAGAUUUUUAAUUUUUUCUACAAUUCAAUACAUCUAGAUUUUUUUUUUAUUAUUUUUUUUCUAAUACAGUGUAAUUGAACCCAUAAAACUAAAAUACUUUCCAAUAUCUUGGUUUCUCAAUCAUAAAGGUUGAUCCCUAACCUUGAGGGCUUUCACCUCCCCGCCCCUAGAGUUUUGUGAGGGAGGUAAAUCUCGGGAUGUGCUCUAACAGGUCAAGGAACAAGAGCUGUCUGUACACUGCGCUCACAAGGAGUCCGAUUCCACAUUUUAGGAAUCGAACUUCCACAUUGUGGCUGCCAGCAAGGCGUGAGAUAACCCCACUCUUGUCCUUUGCACCACUGGACUAUGCCCGGGGGGGCUUGGUUUCUCAAUUAUGAAAGUAUUUUUAAGUGCAUUUAACCACUAAUAUUAGGAGGCAGUGAAUCGGGUUAGUCCACUAGCUUUCGGUGACGUAUAAUUUUUUAGUAUUCUUGAUGGUAGGCUGAAAGAAGGCUUUUAAGUGCAAUUCGUAAAAUUAGGUGGGAACUCAGUGUACGAUAAAGUAAGAUUUUAGCUCCAUUUUUCCCCCCAAUAUUCAUAUUGUUUAGCCAAAGCUGAGUCCAUGUUACCGAAGACGCAAUUAAAUACAUAAAUAAAGGACACGAUGAUUAGAGGUUAAAAAAUCUGUUUGGUCUUUGAACUUGUAUUUGUACUAUUUUUUAUGCUUAUUAACUUAAUUUUCUUACCUAUUUAGCACUGAACUUGCUUUUUCUCACCUUGUUAUUCAUUGAAGUCAGAUAAAUCGCUGCAAAACUACAGAAAUAGAACGCGAGGACAGAAAUCCCAACCAUUUGCUACCACUGAGAAACUAAUACUCUAAAAUUGAACCCGCUUUUUGAGUUUCACAAUAAACACUUUUUUUUUUUUGUGUAAUAAAAAUCAUAUUUUGGAAUUCGAUUUUCUCUAGUGGAUUCACCAGUCGUUGACACUCCCCAUGCAAAACGUGCAUAAAAGUCACACAUUUCGUUAGUUUCUAUUAAUCUAUUCGCCAGAAGUGACGCUGAUAAGUAAGAAAACCAUCAUCUUUGUGCACA